GCGGGAAAGGCGGAGAACGCGAGCGAACAUUCGCACCUGAUUCAAUGCGGACCCUUGUUCCCGAGGUCGGAAGAGACGGGAUGACAGCCGCCUCUUUAGCACUGUCCAGAAACUGGGGACAGGUAUAGGAGAAACAGGAGAUGAUGAUUCAAUGGGAUCCCCGUCCUGCUGCUAAUGUGAGCAUUUAAACAAAGCUCUGUGUGGUUCCUGGGAUACACUCCAUCUGGAGCUGAGGAAACUGGGGUCCAGCGGCGGUGCCAAAGACUGACGCAAUUCAGCCCAAGCCAGCGGCAUCUUUCUCCGCCACUGGUCCCACACUGGUUCAUCUGCCACACCGACCCUACAGAAACAAGAGUGCUCCAUCAGCAGGCAAGUGGGCCCCUCUGGGUGUCAGCUCCUCAAAUGUCCUAAAGUGACCUUCUGUGGCUCUGCUGGAUUUAACUGUUGCAAUCCCAAAGGAGCCCCACCUACGUCACUAAACCUGUAGGAUAACAACACACCCUGACUGAGCAACCUCAACUGCAGGGCUCCCAGCCCAUGAGAAAAUCUCACAGUUGGCAUGGUCAGGGCUGUGGGUAUCUUGAAAGAGCUGGCACAUGACGCGCUCAGUGUCAAGAUAUCUUAUCCACCAUCUUACUUUACAAGAGGGUUUCAGUUUUGAUUCAUUUUUGCAGUAUUAGGGAUUGAACCUAGGGCACUUACUACUAGCCCACAUCCCCAGUCCUGUCUAUUUUUUUAUUUUGAAUACAGGAUCCCGCUAAGUUGCUGAGGCUGGCCUCAAACUUGUGAUUCUCCUGCUUCAGCCUCCCAAAUUGCAGGGAUUACAGACAUGUGCCACCACAUCCAAGCAUCAAGAACAACUUUAAAGAGAUUGUUACAAUUGAUCACUGUAAUGCAAAGGAAAAAAAAAAAUAUCCUAAACCAGGAAAAUCAUGAUGGGUAUCAAGGAAUUCAGAGUUAGGCUUCUGAUCCAUAGAGCAUGGCUUCAUCCUUGUGACAACUUUUGUUUAAUGCAAAGAGGCUUCCAGUUGCAAUUCCCAGAGGAGGUCUGAAGUUCUCCACUGAUGUUUUACCUGGAGGAUUACCAGUUAAGGAUCACUCGUGAAAUUCCAAAAAUAACUCCGCUAAGGAUUUCACCUUCAGACUCUGGCCCACCCUGGAUUGCGAGGUCUUCAAGUUAAGACCAGGACAGACCAGACCCUGACAGGAUCUGCUCUCCACCUUGGGAGUGGGGGGGGGGGCUCUAAAUUAAAUCACAAACCUGAACAGACCUUUUGUCCCACCUGUUUAGAGUCUCACUUAUGGAAUGACACACAGGGACACAUCUGCACUCCCUCCCGGGGGUCUCUGGUCUGUAGGAUCCAGCUCUACCAAGCCUUCCAGCCUCUUCUGAACUUCUUUUCCUCACCCCGUCCUUCUUUCUCUUCCUUAAAUCUGCCAAGUGGGUUCUGCCACUGGCGCUGGUCUGAGGUACCCACUGUCCCCCCCCACCCCCCCCGUUUGUGACAUGUUGACUCUUCCUCAUACCAAUAUCCCCUUCUCCAGGAAGCCUGCCCCACCCCCUUGUACAUUGCAUCACUCCUCCUCCUUGCCCCUCAGUCUGUCCCAUUCUGUCACUUUGUGUCACACUACCUGGAUUUCUUUCCUAUUGAGCAUUUAUCACUGUGAUACCCUGUCUGUUUGGGCAGGCACUUUUCCAUUGUCUGUCUUCCCCUCAGCCAAUAAGCUUCUCCAGAACUGGGGCCUCGUCUUACUCGGUAGGUAUCCAUCCUCAGGACCUCACUUCCUGACACUAGUAGACACUCAGAAAAUGUUUGUGGAAUGAAUAAAUGUUAAACAGAAAGCUCA